GGUCCAAACUCCUACGGGAGGCAGCAGUGAGGAAUAUUGGUCAAUGGGCGGAAGCCCGAACCAGCCAAGUAGCGUGCAGGAAGACGGCCCUCCGGGUUGUAAACUGCUUUUAGUUGGGAAUAAAACGGGGCUCGUGAGCCCCCUUGCAUGUACCAUCAGAAAAAGGACCGGCUAAUUCCGUGCCAGCAGCCGCGGUAAUACGGAAGGUCCGGGCGUUAUCCGGAUUUAUUGGGUUUAAAGGGAGCGCAGGCGGACCUUUAAGUCAGCUGUGAAAUACGGCGGCUCAACCGUCGAACUGCAGUUGAUACUGGAGGUCUUGAGUGCACACAGGGAUGCUGGAAUUCAUGGUGUAGCGGUGAAAUGCUCAGAUAUCAUGAAGAACUCCGAUCGCGAAGGCAGGCAUCCGGGGUGCAACUGACGCUGAGGCUCGAAAGUGCGGGUAUCAAACAGGAUUAGAUACCCUGGUAGUCCGCACAGUAAACGAUGAAUACUCGCGGUUUGCGAUACAAUGUAAGCCGCCAAGCGAAAGCGUUAAGUAUUCCACCUGGGGAGUACGCCGGCAACGGUGAAACUCAAAGGAAUUGACGGGGGCCCGCACAAGCGGAGGAACAUGUGGUUUAAUUCGAUGAUACGCGAGGAACCUUACCCGGGCUUGAACUGCCAGCGACGGAUGCAGAGACGCAUCUUUCUUCGGACGCUGGCGGAGGUGCUGCAUGGUUGUCGUCAGCUCGUGCCGUGAGGUGUCGGCUUAAGUGCCAUAACGAGCGCAACCCUUGUUGUCAGUUACUAACAGGUUCCGCUGAGGACUCUGACAAGACUGCCAUCGUAAGAUGUGAGGAAGGUGGGGAUGACGUCAAAUCAGCACGGCCCUUACGUCCGGGGCUACACACGUGUUACAAUGGGCGGUACAGAGGGCAGCCACUGCGCGAGCAGGAGCCAAUCCUCAAAGCCGUUCUCAGUUCGGACUGGAGUCUGCAACCCGACUCCACGAAGCUGGAUUCGCUAGUAAUCGCGCAUCAGCCAUGGCGCGGUGAAUACGUUCCCGGGCCUUGUACACACCGCCCGUCAAGCCAUGAAAGCCGGGAGCACUUGAAGGCCGUGACCGCAAGGGUCGGUCUAGAGUGAUACUGGUAAUUGGGGCUAAGUCGUAACAAGGUAGCCGUACCGGAAGGUGCGGCUG
rnacentral:rRNA from 1 species